GGGCCAGUAAAGGUUUCGACGGGGAAUAUGAAGCUGGAGAAGCGAGCCGCACGGGAUGCGUCAAAUUCCACAAUUAAAUUUAAACGCUGAAGAUAAUUUAGCAUACGCUGCCUAAUGGCAGCAGUCUGACCUAGAGCACUCACACUUUAGGACCCAGGCUUCGACGAUGUGAGAAACGACACAGGCAAAGCUUUGAGCCUGCGGGCGUACCAUGAAGCUACCAAAACCGUAAGGGUGUCUGUUCCCGGACGGCAGAGGGAAUGUCAAAGGACAGACUAAGCUCGUAGAAGGACAGGGGAUUAUUCUUCGGACACGGGUUCGAUUCCCGUCUGGUCCACUU
rfam:Roseburia hominis A2-183, complete genome.